rnacentral:lncRNA from 1 species
GUUCUCCAGCAUCACCUACUUACGGAUUGAGAGCAUGUUGUUCAACCUUUACAUCCUCUGUGAAGAUACCGAGUCAGACCAGGUGUUCUUGAGAGUUCUUGCAGCAUUAACCAUCCAGCACAGUUCUCACCCAGGCACACAGAUGUCAUAAGGGUUAGGUGGCACCAGCCUCACAUCAAAUAGUCCCUUAAGUACAUGCACCAGAGUUGAACAAUCUUUAUAAACACAGGAUGGAAAAGGUCCAGAGAGGAGAGAGAAGAAGCCACAGGUUUGCCUUCUGUUGCUUGUGGACGACCAGGCCUAAAUCAGAAACAGAGGGUUUCUCUCCUUCUUUCCAUCCUCUUUCUCCAGCUGGAAUACUUUCCCUCAAUCAUCUUUGCUCUGUGUGUGAUCUGGCACAGCUCAAGACAGUAACUUCAGUUCUGAAUACUGAUAGCACUGUAUAAGGGAAGUGUAAUACCAUCUACAGAUGAGGAAGCACAGCUGACUGUCUUCACGUCCCCCAGAUCACAGGUCCACACAGAACCCUUUUGACAGAAUUCAAGGGAGGCAGAAAUUUCAACCACUGAAAAACCAAACCAAACCAAAAUCCAAAACAUGGGUUCCACCCUAGCCAGCCACCUUCAAGAACCACAGGUCUUCAUAAACUAUUUCUGGCUAAUGAGGACUGUGUUUACAGCUGAGUGGCAAGAUCUACUAAUGAGUUGUGAAAUUGUGGGAAGCCGCAAACUCCAUUACAAGGUGGCGCUGGCUACCACUGGCCACCGCCCAUGAUUAUGGAUAAACAACCAAUGUGUGCAUG